AUUGAACGCUGGCGGCAUGCCUUACACAUGCAAGUCGAACGGUAACGGGCCUUCGGGUGCCGACGAGUGGCGAACGGGUGAGUAAUACAUCGGAACGUGCCCGAUCGUGGGGGAUAACGAGGCGAAAGCUUUGCUAAUACCGCAUACGAUCUACGGAUGAAAGCAGGGGACCGCAAGGCCUUGCGCGGACGGAGCGGCCGAUGGCAGAUUAGGUAGUUUGUGGGAUAAAAGCUUACCAAGCCGACGAUCUGUAGCUGGUCUGAGAGGAUGAUCAGCCACACUGGGACUGAGACACGGCCCAGACUCCUACGGGAGGCAGCAGUGGGGAAUUUUGGACAAUGGGCGCAAGCCUGAUCCAGCCAUGCCGCGUGCAGGAUGAAGGCCUUCGGGUUGUAAACUGCUUUUGUACGGAACGAAAAGCCUUCUUUUAAUACAGGAGGGUCAUGACGGUACCGUAAGAAUAAGCACCGGCUAACUACGUG
rnacentral:rRNA from 1 species